UAAUUUACUAUAUAAGAUAAAAGAUAUGAUUCGACUUGAGACCAGCUCAAAUCCCCCAUUAAUUCCAGCCUUAUAUGGUGAAAGAUUAUGGCGGAGAGACGCUGACCAUCGGUCAGGUUGCGGCGGUGGCGACUCGAGUAACGACAGUCGAGCUUUCUGAAGAGGCUCGUGCCGGUCUGAAGGCGAGUUGUGAGUGGGGUGAUGGAGAGCAUGAACCAUGGUACGGACACUUAUCGUAUCACUACUAGAUUUGGUUCAUCAUCUCGUAGGAGGACUGACCAAGGUUCUGCUCUUCAAAAAAAGAGCUUAUUAGAGCUUAGGUGAGGAUAGAGAGCUGAGCAUAAGCUCUUGUAGAGAACCAAAGUUGUAAUCCUUCGUCAUAGCGGUGAUGGCGUAGAUCCAUGAUUGAGCUGAGUCGGUUGCGGAUGUUUUUGUCAAUGAUUUUGAUAAGUCGUUCUGGUGGAGAGGGUGGUUCGCCAUGUCGCCUAGCAUUCCUUUCACGCCACAAAUGAUAAAGAGUUGCUUGAAAAACAUAUUUGAGCAGAAAGCGUUGAAUGAAGCUGAAGGUUGUAGAUGUGAGCAAUGGUAGUAGACUGUUCCAAUCUGUGGAACAAUUGCUUUUAAAACUGGCGGAUUGCAAAUAUAAACCGAAGGAUUAUUACAGCUGAGUAUAUGAUAUUGGUUUAUAAAUUGUAAUGAGAUCAUAACGUUCUCGGAUGAAAGGAAUGAAUGAUUAGGAUACUUUAGUUUCUGAAAAGAUAAAGUUGUGAUUGUGGUAGUUCUGUAAAAGGUCUUCUUAAACAAAUUUGUGGAGUAUCUUUUAAUCUGUUGUUUA